rnacentral:rRNA from 1 species
CCUACGGGUGGCAGCAGUGAGGAAUAUUGGUCAAUGGGCUUACGCCUGAACCAGCCAAGUCGCGUGAGGGAAGACUGCCCUAUGGGUUGUAAACCUCGUUAGUCAGGGAGCAACGCCGGCUACGAGUAGCCGGACGGAGAGUACCUGAAGAAAAAGCAUCGGCUAACUCCGGGCCAGCAGCCGCGGUAAUACGGAGGAUGCGAGCGUUAUCCGGAUUUAUGGGGUGUAAAGGGUGCGUAGGCGGAAUGCCAAGUCAGCGGUAAAAUCGGGGGGCUCAACCUCGCUCCGCCGUUGAAACUGGCGUUCUUGAGUUGGCGUGACGUAUGCGGAAUUCGUGGUGUAGCGGUGAACUGCAUAGA